UUACACUCAGUUGAAGCUCAAAUAAUUUCUGCUACAAUUAAAAACAGAUUCUGUGUCAAAUGGCACACAAUGAAGACUUUUGACUAGUAUUGAGAAUGAGAUACACAUAAAAACAUGAGAAUAAUAUUCUGUAUUUUAAAAGUACUUUCUUUCUGGGUCUCUGUGUAAGCCACCUUGCAAUUUCAUGGCAAAAGACUGAAAUUUCCUUAGAAUUUUGUCCUUUGCAGGCUCUCAAGUUUUAAAACAUUAUUCUUAGAGAUUGAGACUAGAAAACAGAAAUGUGAUUUGUACACACUGGGUUAGGUCUGAGGAAUCAACGGUCCUUUACCAAAGCUAUUGAAAUCAGAGGUGUGUCUGUGAUUACCAAAGAGAUCUUCCGGUGAUAAAAGAAGAAUUGCAUCAGCUUUUGGCUCAGCGUGUCAGAAUGACUCAGCAUCUCAGAAGAAUGUGUUUCCAUUUUCUUUCCGGUUGGAAGAUGGAGUUGGUCACUUCCUGGAACAGACUGAGCUUUGAGGAGACUGGUUUUCUAUGUGAAAUAUUGGCACCCAAUCUGCUGCUACAGAAGCCAACCCACUGAGGGCCCCAGCCGGACCCCAGGGACCCCAGCUGCACUCCUGCGGAUCACGAUGCACUCUUCCCUUUUUUGGACAUUGGGUGAAGCUCUUUGCUACUGCACAGCAAAAGGGGAUGCUAAUUCAGGCUGCGCAUGCAUUGGACCAAAUUCUGAUCUCAGACACCCACACAAUUCCUGUUGUAAGUCACAUGUGUGCACAUUUCUGACAGCAGGAUAUGCCCACUUGCACUGUCUUAAUGCAUCAGCAAGAGUGGUGAUUUUGUGGUGAAAAGUGGCCUUUUAACAGAACAAAAGUGUAAAGAAAUUAUUUUGUAAAACUUGGGGGCGUAGGCAGACUGAUAAUGUUCCUCUAACUGAAUUCCAAUGGGUAAAAUAAAAAAAAAAGGAAGCAAACCAAAGAUACUAAAACAAUUUUCUCACUUAAAAGGGAUUUUAAGAGAGACUGUCAAGCAUCCAGGGCAACUCUCUGCUUCCAAUAUGGGUUGAGGGACAUAUUUCAAUUUGAAAUUAGUUAGGGAGAUAUUUUAUAAUUUAUUCAAAUGGUCA